UUUUGUCCUGAAAUCUCUGAAGAAUAUCUUCUGUCCCAGGUCCCCUUGACCUACUUCAAGGGUCUGACAUCUCCUGUUCUCUUCAACUCCAACCCUCCACAAACCUGGGGAGGAUUUGAUAAUCUGUCUUGUUGCUGCUGAUUACAGAUUUUUGGAAUGCCUCACUUGUGUGUUUCUUUAGUCAAGAUUAUGCAUUUUCAAUGCUUUUGCUCCAACUGUGGAAUGAUAUUGGACUUACCUUUCUUAAAAGAAAUUUAGGUGUCAAAGGAGGAGGAAUACAGGUAAUGGAGGUAUGUGGAUCUUCUAAGUGCAGGUCUGUCUUCCACUACAGUCUUCUCUACAGACUGAGGCUUCCCAGCCAGGUUUGGCACAAAUGUGUAAAAUGUGAAGACUUCACUGGAAUGUCACAGGGAUUAUGA
rnacentral:lncRNA from 1 species